GGGAAGGUAUCGGGAUUUACUGGGCGUAAGCGUGCGUAGGCGGCUUUUUAAGUCGGAUGUGAAAUCCCCGAGCUUAACUUGGGAAUUGCAUUCGAUACUGGGAAGCUAGAGUAUGGGAGAGGAUGGUAGAAUUCCAGGUGUAGCGGUGAAAUGCGUAGAGAUCUGGAGGAAUACCGAUGGCGAAGGCAGCCAUCUGGCCUAAUACUGACGCUGAGGUACGAAAGCAUGGGGAGCAAACAGGAUUAGAUACCCUGGUAGUCCAUGCCGUAAACGAUGUCUACUAGCCGUUGGGGCCUUUGAGGCUUUAGUGGCGCAGCUAACGCGAUAAGUAGACCGCCUGGGGAGUACGGUCGCAAGACUAAAACUCAAAUGAAUUGACGGGGGCCCGCACAAGCGGUGGAGCAUGUGGUUUAAUUCGAUGCAACGCGAAGAACCUUACCUGGUCUUGACAUAGUAAGAACUUUCCAGAGAUGGAUUGGUGCCUUCGGGAACUUACAUACAGGUGCUGCAUGGCUGUCGUCAGCUCGUGUCGUGAGAUGUUGGGUUAAGUCCCGCAACGAGCGCAACCCUUUUCCUU
rnacentral:rRNA from 1 species